CAAUAGUGGCGCACGGGUGCGUAACACGUAACUAACCUACCUAUACCUGGGGGAUAGCCCGCCGAAAGGCGGAUUAAUACCGCAUAAGGCUUGAGACUGGCAUCAGUUUUUAGUUAAAGAUUUAUUGGGUAUAGAUGGGGUUGCGGGUCAUUAGCUAGUUGGUUGGGUAACGGCUGACCAAGGCACGAUGACUAGGGGAGCUGAGAGGCUGGUCCCCCACACGGGCACUGAGAUACGGGCCCG
rnacentral:rRNA from 1 species